GCAUAUCAAUAAGCGGAGGAAAAGAAACCAACAGGGAUUGCCCCAGUAACGGCGAGUGAAGCGGCAACAGCUCAAAUUUGAAAUCCGGCCCCUCGGGCCCGAGUUGUAAUUUGCAGAGGAUGCUUUUGGUGAGGCGCCGCCCGAGUUCCCUGGAACGGGACGCCACAGAGGGUGAGAGCCCCGUCUGGCUGGCCGCCGAGCCUCUGUAAAGCUCCUUCGACGAGUCGAGUAGUUUGGGAAUGCUGCUCUAAAUGGGAGGUAUAUGUCUUCUAAAGCUAAAUAUUGGCCAGAGACCGAUAGCGCACAAGUAGAGUGAUCGAAAGAUGAAAAGCACUUUGAAAAGAGGGUUAAAUAGUACGUGAAAUUGUUGAAAGGGAAGCGCUCAUGACCAGACUUGGGCCUGGCGAAUCAUCCGGCGUUCUCGCCGGUGCACUUCGCCCGGCCCAGGCCAGCAUCAGUUCGCCGCGGGGGAUAAAGGCUUCGGGAACGUGGCUCCUCCGGGAGUGUUAUAGCCCGCUGCGCAAUACCCUGCGGUGGACUGAGGUCCGCGCAUCUGCAAGGAUGCUGGCGUAAUGGUCAUCAGCGACCCGUCUUGAAACACGGACCAAGGAGUCGUCUUCGUAUGCGAGUGUUCGGGUGUCAAACCCCUACGCGUAAUGAAAGUGAACGCAGGUGAGAGCUUCGGCGCAUCAUCGACCGAUCCUGAUGUUCUCGGAUGGAUUUGAGUAAGAGCAUACGGGGCCGGACCCGAAAGAAGGUGAACUAUGCCUGUAUAGGGUGAAGCCAGAGGAAACUCUGGUGGAGGCUCGCAGCGGUUCUGACGUGCAAAUCGAUCGUCAAAUAUGGGCAUGGGGGGCGAAAGACUAAUCGAACCUUCUAGUAGCUGGGUUUCCGCCGA
rnacentral:rRNA from 1 species